UACGAAGGGGGCUAGCGUUGCUCGGAAUCACUGGGCGUAAAGCGCACGUAGGCGGAUUGUUAAGUCAGGGGUGAAAUCCUGGAGCUCAACUCCAGAACUGCCUUUGAUACUGGCGAUCUUGAGUCCGGGAGAGGUGAGUGGAACUCCGAGUGUAGAGGUGAAAUUCGUAGAUAUUCGCAAGAACACCAGUGGCGAAGGCGGCUCACUGGCCCGAUACUGACGCUGAGGCGCGAAAGCGUGGGGAGCAAACAGG
rnacentral:rRNA from 1 species